rnacentral:rRNA from 1 species
UGGGGAAUAUUGGACAAUGGGCGAAAGCCUGAUCCAGCAAUACCGCGUGAGUGAAGAAGGCCUUCGGGUUGUAAAGCUCUUUCGGCGGGGAAGAAAUCGCACUAGUUAAUACCUGGUGUGGAUGACGGUACCCGAAUAAGAGGCACCGGCUAACUACGUGCCAGCAGCCGCGGUAAUACGUAGGGUGCGAGCGUUAAUCGGAAUUACUGGGCGUAAAGCGUGCGCAGGCGGUUUUGUAAGUCAGAUGUGAAAUCCCCGGGCUCAACCUGGGAACUGCAUUUGAGACUGCAAGGCUAGAGUGUGGCAGAGGGGGGUGGAAUUCCACGUGUAGCAGUGAAAUGCGUAGAGAUGUGGAGGAACACCGAUGGCGAAGGCAGCCCCCUGGGCCAAUACUGACGCUCAUGCACGAAGGCGUGGGGAGCAAACAGG